CCCUUAGAUGUUCUGGGCUGCACGCGCGCUACACUGAAGCUAUCAACACGUUUUCCCUCCCUGAGAAGGGCGGGUAACCUUUUGAAUCAGCUUCGUGGUAGGGAUCGGGGCUUGCCAUUGUUCCCCGUGAACCAGGAAUUCCUAGUAGACGCGAGUCAUAAGCUCGCAUCGAUUAAGUCCCUGCCCUUUGUACACACCGCCCGUCGCUACUACCGAUUGAACGUUUUAGUGAGGCAUUUGGACCGACGCAUCUCAGUUUAACCGCUGGUUUGUGUUGGAAAGACUUCCAAACUUGAGCGUUUAGAGGAAGUAAAAGUCGUAACA
rnacentral:rRNA from 1 species